rnacentral:rRNA from 1 species
GAUGAACGCUGGCGGCAGGCCUAACACAUGCAAGUCGAGCGAGCGGCGGACGGGUGAGUAAUGUCUGGGAAACUGCCUGAUGGAGGGGGAUAACUACUGGAAACGGUAGCUAAUACCGCAUACCCUCAGAUGUGCCCAGAUGGGAUUAGCUUGGAGGGUGGGUAACGGCUCACCUAGGCGACGAUCCCUAGCUGGUCUGAGAGGAUGACCAGCCAAACUGGAACUGAGACACGGUCCAGAAUCCUACGGGAGGCAGCAGUGGGGAAUAGUGCACAAUGGGCGCAAGCCUGAUGCAGCCAUGCCGCGUGGAUGAAGAGGGCCUUCGGGUUGUAAAGUACUUUCAGCGGGGAGGCGUUACCCGCAGAAGAAGCACCGGCUAACUCCGUGCCAGCAGCCGCGGUAAUUC